UACGGAGGGUGCAAGCGUUAAUCGGAAUUACUGGGCGUAAAGCGCACGCAGGCGGUCUGUCAAGUCGGAUGUGAAAUCCCCGGGCUCAACCUGGGAACUGCAUUCGAGACUGGCAGGCUAGAGUCUUGUAGAGGGGGGUAGAAUUCCAGGUGUAGCGGUGAAAUGCGUAGAGAUCUGGAGGAAUACCGGUGGCGAAGGCGGCCCCCUGGACAAAGACUGACGCUCAGGUGCGAAAGCGUGGGGAGCAAACAGG
rnacentral:rRNA from 1 species